UACGUAGGCAGCAAGCGUUGUUCGGAAUUACUGGGCGUAAAGAGUGUGUAGGUCGUUUGUUACGUCGGAUGUGAAAACCUGAGGCUCAACCUCAGGCCUGCAUUCGAUACGGGCAAACUAGAGUUUGGUAGGGGAGACUGGAAUUCCUGGUGUAGCGGUGGAAUGCGCAGAUAUCAGGAGGAACACCAAUGGCGAAGGCAGGUCUCUGGGCCAAUACUGACACUGAGGAGCGAAAGCGUGGGGAGCGAACAGG
rnacentral:rRNA from 1 species